UAAACGAUGUCGAUUUGGAGGUUGUGCCCUUGAGGCGUGGCUUCCGGAGCUAACGCGUUAAAUCGACCGCCUGGGGAGUACGGCCGCAAGGUUAAAACUCAAAUGAAUUGACGGGGGCCCGCACAAGCGGUGGAGCAUGUGGUUUAAUUCGAUGCAACGCGAAGAACCUUACCUGGUCUUGACAUCCACAGAACUUUCCAGAGAUGGAUUGGUGCCUUCGGGAACUGUGAGACAGGUGCUGCAUGGCUGUCGUCAGCUCGUGUUGUGAAAUGUUGGGUUAAGUCCCGCAACGAGCGCAACCCUUAUCCUUUGUUGCCAGCGGUUAGGCCGGGAACUCAAAGGAGACUGCCAGUGAUAAACUGGAGGAAGGUGGGGAUGACGUCAAGUCAUCAUGGCCCUUACGACCAGGGCUACACACGUGCUACAAUGGCGCAUACAAAGAGAAGCGACCUCGCGAGAGCAAGCGGACCUCAUAAAGUGCGUCGUAGUCCGGAUUGGAGUCUGCAACUCGACUCCAUGAAGUCGGAAUCGCUAGUAAUCGUAGAUCAGAAUGCUACGGUGAAUACGUUCCCGGGCCUUGUACACACCGCCCGUCACACCAUGGGAUUGGGUUGCAAAAGAAG
rnacentral:rRNA from 1 species